CCCAGACGAUUAGUUGACAAUUUUCGGGAAAUCAUACUUGACCAGCUCCUUUAUCCAGUAUCCAAGAAAGAAUCUAUUCAAUGGAAGAAUUCCUAGGACAACUCAUGUAUACACAAUAAGACCUGUUAUCAGUAUCAUCUCAACAACUACUAGUCACAAUUCACUUUCAACCAUUGAUUUAGAAAUCAAACAUUUUGUAUUCUUAUAAUUUGUAAUUCCACGAUUUGAUCUAAUAUCGUGUUUUGUUCGAGAUAGACUAGGCAGUUGGCGUAGAUUGAUUCAGUUAUGCGUAGAAACGUUGUAAUAUUCUUCUUCUGUUGAGCUGCUGAUAAAUUGUUUUACUGUGUUUCCUGCAUUUCAACGUAUUGUUGUAAGCGAGUAGUAUUUAGUAUAUAUAUUAUUAUUAUUAUUAUUAUUAUUAUAACUAUUAUUAUGAAUGUAUACAUAACAUGUACGCGUAGGCAUUAGUCCUUUAUGUGGGGAGUAAUGCAAGUAAGCAUUUUUGGAUUAACCGGACGCCUCUCGCCGUCCGUAUAACCAGUCGUAUUGUAACCAAGUACAUGAACGGUCAAUAAACGAACUCAUAAUAGUAAUUUGUUCACGAGUCUUAACCAUUUUUUAAUCCUUUACUUUAUUCGAAGUGCGAACUUACAAACGUUACAUAGUGUCGACGGACUCUAACGAGUUUAACCGAUCCGGCCUAUAACAUUUCAAAAGUUAGGUGACAAAUGAAUAUAUUAAAUCUGAACAAUUGAUUGCAAAAUCGACAUAAUAUAUCAUCAGAUUUCUGGAGAGUUCAAAAUCGUUGAAAAAAUAAGAUUAAAGAGAAAAAGCUGUAAUUUGAAAAAAUUAUGUCAUAGAAGAAUUUGGUAAUUUUCAUGUACAACAGUCAAUACAAUAAUAUAAUUUUUAAGAAUUAAAUUUAUAGAAAGAAGUAAAUAAAAAAAGGGGAAUUUUAUAUGGAGGAAAAAAAAUCUGAAACAUAAAACAAUGGUUUUAAAAACUGACAUAGUUGAUAUUUCAACUGGAUUAUCUAACUUUCUUCUUAUUCAGUUCACUAACAUAAAAUUGUACUAAUACCAAGAUACCAAAGUAUGUUCAAAUUAGAUGGUAAUUCAACCAGUACAAAGAAAUAACUUCCGAAAGUAGAAGAUAUAGUUAUUAUUAUUGAUUAAACAAUUUUUUGGUGUAGAGCUAAAAUUACAGCAAAAAAAAAAAAAAAAAAAAAGCAGAAAUCAAUUUCCGAUGUAAGAAUUACAGAAAUUUGAAAGUAAUCUUAGAGUUUAUUGACAGACAAUCAAUAUUUCACUUUUGUACUUUAAAAACUUUACCAUGAAAAGAUGAAGAAAUAUUAAAAUAAUUUUAUUCUUUUAUUUGAUUAGUAAAUACUUUAGUGUUAAUGAAAUUAUUGUGAC